AACGCUGGCGGCAGGCUUAACACAUGCAAGUCGAGCGGGGGAAGGUAGCUUGCUACCGGACCUAGCGGCGGACGGGUGAGUAAUGCUUAGGAAUCUGCCUAUUAGUGGGGGACAACAUCUCGAAAGGGAUGCUAAUACCGCAUACGCCCUACGGGGGAAAGCAGGGGAUCUUCGGACCUUGCGCUAAUAGAUGAGCCUAAGUCGGAUUAGCUAGUUGGUGGGGUAAAGGCCUACCAAGGCGACGAUCUGUAGCGGGUCUGAGAGGAUGAUCCGCCACACUGGGACUGAGACACGGCCCAGACUCCUACGGGAGGCAGCAGUGGGGAAUAUUGGACAAUGGGGGGAACCCUGAUCCAGCCAUGCCGCGUGUGUGAAGAAGGCCUUAUGGUUGUAAAGCACUUUAAGCGAGGAGGAGGCUACUCUAGUUAAUACCUAGAGAUAGUGGACGUUACUCGCAGAAUAAGCACCGGCUAACUCUGUGCCAGCAGCCGCGGUAAU
rnacentral:rRNA from 1 species